AAUUAAAAAACAUAAUUUUAAUUGUUUUCAAAACAAUUUCGAGCGGUCGGAAGUUUUUAUUUUGCUUUUUCAAGAUUUGUUGUUACUUUGUGAGUGAAUUUAACGUUAAAUAAAAAUUAUGAGAUUUAAAGAGCGUUCUUCUCAUCCGAUAUUGGCGCAAAUAGAGGCAUUGAUAAACGUUUUGGGUUAAAAGCUAGCGAAACAAAAGGAUUAAUCGAAUCUCAACAUGUUCAAUAAGAGAACAAGGAUAUUAAAAAAAUAUAGGAACUAAAUUCUCUUGUCAGUUAAGAUCCAUUCCCGGUGAGAUAUUUAGGACAUGUUAACAUAUAUUUAUGUAUGAUAUAUCUAUCUACAACGUUUUUAUUGAUGUUCUAUUUUAACAGGGCAUGAAGGUAAUUUAUUUGUAUCUCAAAUUCACCAACAAAAAAAUUAUUUUGAAUUAAAUACAUCAAAUCAUUAACAAUUUAGGUAUUGCAAGUUAGAUUGAUGUUGUUGGAAUGUAUUUAUUGAUGCAGAGGUGACUGUAUCUAUGGUAAAGGGUGUGCAUACUGGUACAGGGGUGGCAGGCAGUGCCAGAGUAUUGACUAAACUGACAUUAUGUUGGCUAAAGGCUGCAUACUCAGUUUAAAAUAAAUGAACAAAAUUUAGGCAUAACCUAUUUUAUUAUAUUUAAGGAACUACAACAGAUUGAAAAUACUAAUCCACAUCAACAGAAUAUUGUAAGGAGAAUUUAUAGCCUACUCGGAAAAUGUAUCAGUAUUGGAACAAUCGCAAACAUACAGCAUUGCAUCAAGAAUCACCUAUUUUGCAGUCAUCAUCCUCUAACUAAAUGCAAGUGACUUCUACUUAUUGUGAUGCUACUACUAGUAGCUCCAGCCACAGUAGGUCUCACAUGUUAGUCAAGAGAUUGGGUUGAUAUGUGUUUAUUCAGGUCAAAGUACCUAUUCAUUGAACCACCAUAUUAGGGACAUUGAUUUGUGUAUAAUGCUGUUACUUGUAAAUAAAAACAUUUUGUUGCAUGUAUUGUAAACAUUGUAUUUUACCUAACCUUGUUUUUAAAUAAAUUUAUUAUUUUUUUCAGCACCUCAACACCUGACCUGCUAUUUCACCACUUUUACAAUGAAAAGCAGAGUGUACUCAAAUUACUGAUAGAAUUUUGUGGAUAGAGGAACUGCAGGUGAAGAUUCAGGGUGUUCAUAUGUGUGUCGUCCAAAGCAUUUUUGAACACAGUACCAUAUAUAACUUAAUGAAACUUACAACCAUGGGGGAAUGAAUAGUCGACAAUCUGCAAGAAGGAUGAACUGUUGGUGGAAUUAGCACAUGCAGCUAGCAAUUUUAAACCUGUAUUUCCACAUAAGUUACUGAUGCAAACAAAUUUCAAUUAUUGUAUAUAACUAUUGAAUAAAACUAUAAUAAAACUAUUUUUAUAAAUCAUUAA